rnacentral:lncRNA from 1 species
AACUCGAAUACAUCGGGGGUGACACAAAGCAAAACUCAAGCCUAGAUCACUAAGAACUUUAUUCUACUAGAGAAAGAUAAAACCAAAAAGGAUCGAACUAAGAAAAGGUAAAGGCAAAAGAUGUGAUGGUGAUACGAUACCAGGGCAACUCCCCCAAGCUUGGCACAAGCCAAGGGGAUUGCCCAUACCCGUGCUUAGUUGUCUUCCUUUGGAGGUGAUGGUGGUGGAGUUGUUGCAACCUGGGUUUGAUCCUCCG